UCUGCGGGUCUCUGCAGAAGCAAAGUGCCAGUCGCUUGUCUUGGUCCUUUGCAGUCUCCCCUGAGGGUGCUGUAGGUUGAAAAGGGCAAGCUGAGAGGAGGAGGCGAUGAAGCAUCUGGUUCAUUUCACAUGGAAGAGGUGGAAAGAUGAAGAGAUUAAUGCUGGCCAGAGAGGUCACAGAUUCACCUAGUGGAGGCAGAGGAACCACAGGGACCUUCUUUGAAUCGUGCCAACGACUGUGAGUUACAACUCCUCGCCAAAGUUUCCCUUGUCACGCAGCCCCCUUGUCGCCUGGGGAAUACGGCUUUGCUGUGACACAGACGCUGUAAUGAAAACUAUGUACUUUGUGCAGCACGGUGUGACAGCUGCAGUGCUGCGGGUAGCAGCCUGCUCAGCGGUAGAAGGAUGGCUCCCGAGAGCUCUGCCGCGCUAGAGCUGGCAAGCCGCGGAUGAGCUAAGCGGUGCGAAAGCAGCGGUUUGGCGCUGCUCUGAGCGGCUGGCAGCGUCCGGGAGCUGUCGGGUGUCUGGAGGAGGAGGUGCAGGAAACCAAACCAUUAAAGUGCCGCGGGAAAGUGCUGAGUCAGGGCCGGGGCAAUCACGUGAAAGGCCAGGAAAAGAAACCUCGGCAGGGAGGUGAAGAGAUCAGAGAGCAGGUUGCGGCGGGCAGCCGCAAAACUUCCUGCCAGAGCUCUCGGAGAUGUCCUGUUGUCACACAGCUGGCAACACAUCUCUCCAGCUGAGCAGGAAGGCGGCACAGGCUUCGUCACCAGCUUGUUACACAAACACAGCUCGGUGUGAAAGAUCUGUCAUGUAUCAAGGGACUCCUCUUCAGACCCAGAGACUAAUGGAAUCACAAAGACCAGAAAAAGGACACUAUCCAAUGAAUCCAUGAAGAAAUGGUUAAGAAAACUCUAACAGGGUCAGACUCCAGCUGAAACAGCAGCAAACAAGAAAACAGCCACUGCUUUGAUUUCAGAAGCAAAAGGAGAAAUCUAGGCUUGAAAAACCUGAUCAGACCUUUGUCAAGUGCAAGAAAUGUGGGGUUUUUCUUUUUUUGUCCUCCUCCCUCCUGCCUCUUGCUUCAGAGAAAGUUAGCGGAGAGCUAGGAAAGCAAUUGGUUUAGGAUGAACAGACUAAUUACCUAAAUAACCUCAAUUAAUCUUUCUUCUACCUAGCAGCUUAGGAUGCCAGUAGACACGUUACUAUACUUCUGGCCAGUUCAUCCACUUCAACUACCAACAUUUCUCUAAUUGCUUCCUAUCAAAACAAGUACUAUUACAGAAUCAUACAGUAUCUUAGGUAGGAACAGACCUUAGAGAUAAUCUACUCCAACCUCCCUGCCAUGAGCAGGGACAUCUCACAACCAGACUUAGCUUCUCAAGGCCUCAUCCAACUUGGCCUUGAACACUGGCAGGGAGGAGGCAUCCAAAACCUCCCUGGACAACCUAUUCCAGAUCCUCACCUUUCUCCUUCCUAUUUAACCACGCUGCUUCAAAUCCUUAAAAAACCCUGCCUUCUGCACUGCAGAUGGACAAACAUAUAGCAUUAAGUGAAAUAAGCUAACCUAUAUUAAUAGACACUUACAUAGUGUUCAUAUAAAGCUGUGCUUUUGCAUUUGUAUACCAGAAUUCUGAAGCAUUAACAACAGGUCAACAUUGAGUGUUUGAACAUCAAGUGCAAAAACUUUUGCCUCUUCACUGAUAACAUCCACAAAAAUGCUAUAAUCAAAAUUCAGGAAUUCUUCUCAACUGUUUUUUUUUUUUUAAAGAGAUUAAACUUUCUAAGCAUACAAACACAAAACCUUUUAUUAACAUUUGCUCUGUGGAGCAUAACAUCACUUACUGCUACAUUGUGCUUUGUGAAUUUAAUUACUGGUGUCACACAACAAUAAUUGUAAUGUACCAAGAAUUCCCAACUUUAGGAGCCCUAUCUCACAAAAUUAUUUUGUCUCAAAUUAAGCUUUCCAGUCAGGGAAUCUGUGCCCUGAAGAUGGUCAGAAAAAGGAAAACACCACAUUUCCUUUGUGUAAUAUAUAUUAUGUUGCAGCAGCCACACCUGGGUUUCCAUAUCAGGGAAAAGCAGACAAAAGAACUGAACACAGGACUGAUGAAAGAAAAUCAGAAGCUUCCAGAACUACUUAACUUUGAUUAAGCCCAAAUUUCUAGUAUUGAAAUUUAGAUCUUUAUUUUCUGGCACAAAUUUAAGGAAAAUUAUUAUAAUAAAAAGGUUUUGAUUCUGUAGUAUUUCAGCUACCCAGAUGUGUAUCUCUGGCUGGGGAAGAACAAAGUAUGAAGCUAGUGUCCCUGAGAGAAAUAAAGCCUCAGGAAAUCUCACUGAGCAAACAUUUAACAUGGAAAAGUGUUAAAUCAAAGUCAGGAAGUUUAACCCCAUUAAAAAGAAAGAUCUUAUUUUAAGGUGUGCAGCAGAACUUUUGCAGACUUGCUUGCAAUGAAUAACAGUUUCUGCCAAGGCAUAUUUGGCAUCAGCUCCAUUGACCAAGCAACUAUUCAGAAAUACAUUAGUUAGCAUUUACAAACACUAAUGAUUCCUUUUACUAUUUUUAAAUUAAGGUAUUUCUUUUUAGAUUAAACAAAAGUAAAUUCAUACUUUUUUGCAGUCCAUUUCAUUACAGAGCAUUUAAGUCACAACAAGUUAAAAAUGGAGAUUUAAAAGAAACAAAGUACAUUUUUGGUGUUGUGAGUGCAAGAAACAUUAAAUUAAGCUUGUUGUAAAAGCGAGCUGAAAUUUCAGUGACAACUGCAAAGCUAAAGCAAAGAUUUUCAACAGCACUGUGUAUUAUUAAACAAUUUUGGAUAACCUUCAAGUA